CUGAAGGCUGCUAGCAGAAUACUGGCUUCCAGGCAGCUAGGAUGAGGGUUUUAUAGCCCACGCACACAGUGACACACCUACUCCAACAGGGGCAACUCCCUGGGCCGAGCAUAUAUAAACGAUCACGGGUGCUUCAGAAAGGGUGCUAGGAGGAAAGAGACCCAUGAAGGUGCAUCAUCAGGGCUGGAAACUGGUGCCUUUUCUAGGCUUGGAGAAGUUUCCUCCCAACAGGCACAGGGAAGUGGAGAUUGGAAGGAAAUGUCCUGGGAUACUCCCUUUCCUAGCUUCAAAACUCAAGGCUACUGCAUCUCUUAAUUUCAAGUUUGUCUUUGUAGCUAUGUCCUACGGUCCAGGAAGAACCCUACUGAGUCCCCAGGGCCUUCAUCAGGUAAUGCUGUUUAACAUGGCAAUUUUCCAGCCCCCACUCCAGCCCCCAAUCCUAACACCCUCAGCCAGUAUAUUCUUGCUCUGCUCAGCAUGGUUUCCAGUAGUUUUCCUUCAGAAGGCUCUUUCCUUCGAGCACGGCUGGUACAGAACUUAUCUCUGAGCUCUGCCCACAUCCUUGCACAGCUUCUUUUGCAGCCUCCCCCACCUUUGUGCCCAAGGGACCUUCUGCACUCUGGGGUUUGUGGCAAGGCGUCUUCUUGUUCUUGGGCAUCAUCUCCUUUGGCGGUGGCAGGGGGUAGGGUGGGGCAUGUUGAGAGUUUAGAGUUGUUUUGACUUGUGCAGCCUGGACCUGCUGCGGCUGCUGCUUGGGACAUCCAUUCCCCGGUGGUGUUGAAGAUGUUAGAGGUCAUCAGGGUGGUUCUGUUCAUUUUUAAGUGUGUGUGUGUGUGUGUGUGUGAGAGAGAGAGAGAGAGAGAGAGAGACAGAGACAGAGACAGAGACAGAGACAGAGACAGAGAGACAGAGAGAGACAGAGACCCAGAUACAGACACAGAGAGAGAUAGACAGAGACACACAUACAGAGAGACAGACAGACAGACAGACAGACAGAUAGACACACAAGGCGGGGGAGUAUCUGGUUUACUUGGUGUUUAAAAGCGUUAAGAGGGAAACUGAAAAGCUAAACUGCCAGGUAAGGUCACUUGGUCCUUGAAGGUCCCCUCCUCCCUCCCUCUGCUCCCUCCCUUUCCUCUUCCCUCUUUCUUUCCCUUCUCUCCUCCCAUUCUUCCUCCUCAACUCUUUCCCUCCACUCUACUGGAGAGGCUCUCUGCAGCCCAGGCUGAAGGUGCCAUUCUCCUGCCUCAGCCUCCUGGGGUGCUAUAUUACAAGCCCGUACCACCCACGCAGCAAGUUGUCUCCUUAGUUGGACUUCUUUCUAAUUCUCUAAUAUUUUUAAAAGUCACGAAUUUUAUCUAAACUCUGCUCGGAUGAACCCUCUUAUUUGGACACCUAAAGAUCUUUGUCUUAGUGUCUUCCCUAUUUCUGUGAAGAGACACCGUGGCCAAGGCAACUUGGAAAGCAAAACCUGACCUGGGGCUUGCUUAUACAGUUUCAGGGAGGAAAGGGGGAGGCGUGGAGCAGCAGACAGGCAUGGAGCAGUA
rnacentral:lncRNA from 1 species